rnacentral:snoRNA from 1 species
GACCAUUCAAUUAGCCAUGUGUUCUUGCUGGCGUCACUUCACCUUGUUGUAGGUGGGGUUUGAUGCCGGGUGAGGCGGUCUUCUUGAAGGCGCAUGGUAGACUAAAAAGCAGGAAGUAUCUCCAGCUGCUGAAGGAACGGGGGCCUUUCUCCUCUGGACCAAUUCAAAUGUGAUGCAGCUGGUCAUUCAUUCUUGCUACAUUU